UAUGGCGUCUAUAUUUAUGGUCACUUUUCAAAGGCAGUAAUUUUCUUUCAUGGUCUUCCUGAUGCAAAAAUACCUCUUACAAUUUCUAUGCUCUACAGUCUGGUCACUUCAAAAAUAUUGGACAGCUCUUGGGACUGUCUCUACUACAAGGGGGUUCUGAUGUUCAAUGUUUGGCCCCAUUCAUUUAUGAUUACAUAGCUGGUUUAAACUUACACUACCUUCAGCCAGCCAUUCACCACAUUCUGAUAGUGAUGUUAGACAACUGGCGUUCAGAAUUGAGAAAGCCAGUGGUGAAGAACUAUCAGUGCUCAUGAGUGACCCCAGCAUAGGCGUACAAUUAGUAGAUGCUGGGUACACCAAGCCAAUCACUCACAUUAAUGAUGUCACUAAAGAAGAAGCAGUAAAGA